rnacentral:rRNA from 2 species
AACGUAGGUGGCGAGCGUUAUCCGGAUUUACUGGGCGUAAAGGGUGUGCAGGCGGGCUGUUAAGUGGUGUAUGAAAUCGCCGGGCUCAACCGGGCGAGGUUAUGCCAGACUGGCAGUCUAGAGAGCGAGAGAGGGACGUGGAAUUCCGGGUGUAGUGGUGAAAUGCGUAGAGAUCCGGAGGAACCCCAGAGGCGAAGGCGGCGUCCUGGCUCGCAUCUGACGCUCAGACACGACAGCAUGGGGAGCGAACGGG